UACGUAGGGGGCAAGCGUUGUCCGGAGUUACUGGGCGUAAAGCGCACGCAGGCGGUUCUCUCAGUUCCCCCUGACAGUCGUCGGCUUCACUGACGAAGGAGAGGGAAGACGGGAGAACUUGAGGGCUUCAGAGGGACACGGAAUUCCGGGUGGAGUGGUGAAAUGCGUAGAGAUCCGGAGGAACACCGAAGGCGAAGGCAGUGUCCUGGCUCGCGACUGACGCUGAGGUGCGAAAGCUAGGGGAGCGAACGG
rnacentral:rRNA from 1 species